UCCAGCCCUAGCAAUUUCAGUUCGAUACAGACACUGAAAGCGUAAACAACAGUCUAAACAACAAAAACUAAGAAUAACUUCCGUUUUUUAUAUAAUUUUAGACACACAAAAUGUUUAAAAUUUUAGGUAAAUUUUGCGCAACUUUCUAUUAUUGGAUCGUCAAUUUUGUAAACAUUUUCAAUGUUGGUUUCGGCGGCGAAAGUAUGUGGACUCUGCCCAAAGUUGAGGAGCCGAUUCUAGUAAAGGAAGACAAUUUGGUAGACGAACAGGUGACCACGGAUGAUAGCGUCAUUGAUUCCGAAUCCGUGACCCCUGAACUUAGCUCAAUUAAUUUGGCUAAUGCAAAAUCGAUGAGUGAUCCAAAGGAAUGCCCAAUAUGCCUUAAAAAAUCCGCUGUACCCGUUCCAAAAGGACGUAAAAUGAACAAUGCCUGUUAGAAGAUCAAAUGUAUUUGAUAUCUGGAAACUAUCUUGGAUAUCUUGGUUAAUUUCUUAAAGAAAUUGUUAUUUGUCUAAAUCGUAAAAUAAAAUGUGAUUCAUAGUGAA